GGGACGGCUAACUACGUGCCAGCAGCCGCGGUAAUACGUAGGUCCCGAGCGUUAUCCGGAAUUAUUGGGCGUAAAGGGCACGUAGGCGGACAAAUAAGUUUGAUGUCAAAUAUGAUGGCUCAACCAUCAAGAGGCGUUGAAAACUGUUUAUCUAGAAUCUCGGAGAGGUAAGUGGAAUUCCAUGUGUAGCGGUGGAAUGCGUAGAUAUAUGGAGGAACACCAAUGGCGAAGGCAGCUUACUGGACGAAGAUUGACGCUGAGGUGCGAAAGCGUGGGUAGCAAACAGGAUUAGAUACCCUGGUAG
rnacentral:rRNA from 1 species